CGGAGGAUCCAAGCGUUAUCCGGAAUCAUUGGGUUUAAAGGGUCCGUAGGCGGCCCUGUAAGUCAGUGGUGAAAUCUCCCGGCUCAACCGGGAAAUUGCCAUUGAUACUGCAGGGCUUGAAUUAUUGGGAAGUAACUAGAAUAUGUAGUGUAGCGGUGAAAUGCUUAGAUAUUACAUGGAAUACCAAUUGCGAAGGCAGGUUACUAUCAAUACAUUGACGCUGAUGGACGAAAGCGUGGGGUAGCGACAGGAUU
rnacentral:rRNA from 1 species